GUCCCCGUGGCCCUAAUGGAUAAGGGCAUCCGCCUACGAAGCGGGAGAUUGCGGGGUUCGAGUCCCGUCGGAGACU
rfam:Phytophthora infestans T30-4 supercont1.20 genomic scaffold, whole genome shotgun sequence.